UACGUAGGGGGCAAGCGUUGUUCGGAAUUACUGGGCGUAAAGGGCUCGUAGGUGGCCAACUAAGUCAGACGUGAAAUCCCUCAGCUUAACUGGGGAACUGCGUCUGAUACUGGAUGGCUUGAGUUUGGGAGAGGGAUGCGGAAUUCCAGGUGUAGCGGUGAAAUGCGUAGAUAUCUGGAGGAACACCGGUGGCGAAGGCGGCAUCCUGGACCAAUACUGACACUGAGGAGCGAAAGCCAGGGGAGCAAACGGG
rnacentral:rRNA from 1 species